rnacentral:rRNA from 1 species
AACGAACGCUGGCGGCGCGCCUAACACAUGCAAGUCGGACGCAUGUUUCCUUCGGGGGGCAUGAGUGGCGGACGGGUGAGUAACACGUGGGAACCUGCCCUGGGGUCUGGGAUAGCUGCGGGAAACUGCAGGUAACACCGGAUACGCACGGGAGUGGAAAGUUUUUCGCCCUGGGAUGGGCCCGCGUCGGAUUAGGUAGUUGGUGGGGUAACGGCCUACCAAGCCUUCGAUCCGUAACCGGUCUGAGAGGAUGAUCGGUCACACUGGGACUGAGACACGGCCCAGACUCCUACGGGAGGCAGCAGUGGGGAAUCUUGGACAAUGGGGGCAACCCUGAUCCAGCGACGCCGCGUGGGUGAUGAAGGCC